GCAGUCUUGGAAUUCAGGCAUUUUCGCGGGAUUUCCCGUUUUUUUAUUAGCAAGGGACUACGUAAAUGGCAACUGGUACUGUAAAAUGGUUUAACGAUUCCAAGGGUUUCGGCUUCAUCACUCCGGACGACGGCAGCGAAGAUCUGUUCGCGCACUUCUCCGCGAUUCAGAUGGGCGGAUUCAAAACCUUGAAAGAAGGUCAAAAGGUGCAGUUUGAAAUCACCCAAGGCCCCAAGGGUAAGCAAGCUUCCAACAUCCAAGCCGCCUAAGUAUUAGCGCUUGAAUGCUACGCCCCGGAGCCACGGCUCCGGGGCGUUUU
rnacentral:other from 1 species